rnacentral:sRNA from 12 species
CAAACGAGCGAUAAGACCGCUACAGAUUUCCAGAGCGUUCCCAUCCUUCGGUUGGUUAUAGCCCUGGUAGACCAAUCUGUAGGGCACGCUCAUUUU